CUCUGAGGAAGGAGGAAGCCGCUGCGCCGGAGCUGCGAUGGGGAUUUGAACGCACCUCCGCGCAGAAGACAGCGCCGCACGGCCCGGCUCAGAGCGCAGCGGGCGGGUCCGCCUCACUUUGUCUCCCCCCCGGUUUGGAUGUAACCUGAUCGGAUUUGGGCUGCUGACUGAGCGGUUGGUUGGGUGGUCGGUUGUUGCUUGGAGCUGGAGGCCGGGAAUAGGACAGCGUCUGCCCCGGGCUCGUGCUUCUGGUGGCGGAGUGUCACCGUCGGUCGGUUGGUCGGUUCCCGUGGAGAGCUGAGCGGAGCUUGCAGUGACCUGCUGCUGCUGCUCUCUGUGUGUUUGUGCGUUUCUCUUCGCGGCUGGACUCCGUUACACACAGGAUUAAGUGAUUAACGCUCCGGUACCGGGGAGUUGGAUGUGUGUUUUGCCCCGCAGGAGUCACCUGGAGUCCGGGCGGAGAGACGGGGCCGAUGGCGCAACGGUAUGAAGAUUUGGCCCACUACGGGCUGGAGGGCGUGGGUGGGGUGUAUGGAGACCCACACCACCAUCACCACCACCACGCCGCCCGCUCUCUGCAGGCCGUGCACCUGGCUGCUGCCGCCGCUGCCGCCGCCGCUGCUGCUGGUCCAUACCCUCCACACCAGUACGCCCAGUCCACCCACACCAGCAGCAGCAUUGGCGCCACAGCUGGGGACGCCGUCAAGAGGGACAAAGACUCCAUUUAUGGACAUCCUUUAUUCCCUCUGCUCGCACUGAUUUUUGAAAAAUGUGAAUUGGCGACCUGCACGCCGAGAGAGAGUGGCGUGGCCGGAGGAGACGUCUGCUCCUCGGACUCCUUCAACGAGGACAUCGCCGUCUUCUCCAAACAGAUCCGAUCAGAAAGGCCUUUAUUUUCAUCAAAUCCAGAGCUGGAUAAUUUGAUGGUACAGUCGAUACAAGUGCUGCGCUUCCACCUCCUGGAGCUGGAGAAGGUUCAUGAGCUUUGUGAUAACUUCUGUCAUCGAUACAUCAGCUGUCUGAAAGGGAAAAUGCCGAUCGAUCUGGUUAUGGACGACAAGGACGGCAACAAAUCGGACAGUGAGGACUUCAUCAGGUCCUCGGGGAACGUGGAUCAGAGCUCAUGGAGCAGAGAUCACGACGACGCGGCAUCGAUCCGGUCGGCCGGGACGCCGGGACCGUCCAGCGGUGGACACACGUCCUACAGCGGAGACAACAGCAGCGAACACGGCGACUGCCUGGAUAACGGCGUGGCUUCUCCCAGCACAGGGGACGACGACGACCCCGACAGAGACAAACUGCACAACAAGAAAAGAGGCAUCUUCCCCAAAGUGGCCACCAACAUCCUGAGAGCCUGGCUCUUUCAACACCUGACGCACCCGUACCCGUCGGAGGAGCAGAAGAAGCAGCUGGCUCAGGACACCGGCCUCACCAUCCUGCAGGUCAACAACUGGUUCAUCAACGCGAGGCGGCGGAUCGUUCAGCCCAUGAUAGACCAGUCCAACAGAGCAGUGGGCCAUGCAGGACCGUACGGCCCAGAUGGUCAGCCAAUGGGAGGCUUCGUUAUGGACGGGCAGACACACAUGGGAAUCAGACCACCUGGUCCUCUAGGUGGUGUGGGGAUGGGCGUGGAGGGACAGUGGCACUACAUGUAGCACCACCACCAGCACGCUGCAGCCAGAGGACACGCCCAGUGUCCCGCGAAACCACCGACUCCAUCAGCCAGUCUGCAGACCUCCUCCGCAGGCCUCGGAGCAGGACCCCGUCCUCCCCUCAGCCCCUCCCCUCUGGGCAUCUACCUGGCCUGAUAAGGAAAACACCUGAUGGCCGCCGGAGACGCCAUGUGGUUUACAAUCCCACACAAACACAAAGAGACCGCGGGGACAGAUGGAGAUCCUGGAAGGAAUAAUAAACAGCUGUGUUUCCUCAAUGAUGACACUUUGGGAGGACUUUUUUUAUCUGGAUUUGAUGGUUUCCUGUGAUGUCAGCAGCCCAGAGUGUCCUCCAACAGAUUUAAACCUUCUCUCUCCUCUCUGGACUACAACUACAGAAGCCUCAAGUGGACAUUUUGACACCAGCAGAGCUUCCCUCCCCUCCUCUCCAGCAGUUGAACUGAUAUCGACGCAAAGCUGAUGUCUGUAUUUCUCGAGGCGUUCUUUUGAAACGCGACAGCAAACCAUUCUCUCAAGAGGCUGAAGCUCUUAAAAGAUGGACGGCAGUGGUCACAUGACCGGGCGCUGUUUACCGAGGACUCUCAGAGGACGAGAGACAAGUCGUUACAAGUGCUCUGCUGCCUUUUUUUUGUUUGUUUUUUUUGCAUAAUAUACUGUUUUAAAGGAAAGGACUUGUACUGUUUCACGUUUCACACUGUGUGUGUUUGUCUUUUUUUCAUAGACUUCUAUCUUCCCUCGAGUCCCACAAACCCUUGAGUUCCAAAAUAAUAAAACAAAAGUGACGCAAAUUUGUUCCUCGAUUUGUGGAAGUAUUUCGUUAUUGACGGAGGGAGUGAGGUGUGUAGAAACACGUGACAGCAGAAGAACAAACCUACCUGUGUAUCUCCAGGGUUCCUCCUCCACAUUUCAGGAUAAGAGAUUAUUACUUUUUACCCGACAACAUUUAUUUGACAGCUGGAGUGACUGGAGACAAAUAUUUUAUAUUAAAAACAUAAUCCAAUAUCCUCUUUCAGUGACGCUUUAUUUUACGGGUCUUUUACUUUUCUACUCAUUUUCUAAAUAAUUACCCGGAAAGAAGCCGGUGUGUGACUAUUAUUAUUAUUACAACAUCUCCUGGAAACGGUCAAAUUAUUUGAUCUGAAAUGAGGAGAUUGUGUGCUCGGUACUUUUUGGUAAACACUUGAUCUUAACAAGCUAAUAUUCAGUUGAACACACAAACUAAAGUCACUGAUAGACUUGUAAUUUGUGCUUCAAGGUUUUCAGGUUGGGCUCGUGAACUUCCCAAUCUUUGGUGGACACAUUUUUAGAUAUUUUUGGCUGCUUAUAAACACCACCAAACUCUUCUGCUCAACCUAUAAACACUUUCUCCUUUUCCCGAUGAAUUAGUACCAAACUAUAAAUGUAGCCGGCUUCAAUGUCCUAAGAAACGUCAACAUAAAGCGUGACAUCUUUACUUCUAUAACUCCUUCUUUCCUUUCUACUUCUCUGUAUCCUUGUUUCUGUCCCUUCUUUAACCUUUAACCUUUUUCUUUGAUCUGGACACUUAUAAAUAAAUCUGACAACAGAGCUGAACUCUAUCUUCACAUUACAAAAGUACUGUGGAUACUUGAGUAUAUUUAGCUGCUAAUCCUUGUUUCCUUUACUUCAUUUUUACUUCUAAAUGAGUAUUUUUUCUGCUACUUUAAUGAAAAUAUAUUCUUCCAGGCUCAGGCGCGAGUAGAAAACUUUUAAUCUAUGAAUAUGAAACUAUUAGUCACCAUUUCAUUUAUUUUCCAUUCCUGAGUGCCAACACGGCAACUCUGUUAAAUUCACCUUAAAUCAACACACUGGGGAGCCGGUGGAUUCUUUGAGUGGGGAGAAGGCCAAAAGACCUUCAGCAGGAACUGAGGGUGAGGGGGGAACUAAAAUUACAACUUCAACUUCAUGUGUAAUUUUGUGAGAGUCACUCUGGCUUGAAGAGGAAAACAGCAGCCGGCUCGCUCGGCCUUUUCUGGCAUAUUCAGCCUGAACAUAAUCCCACAGAACAGUCGCUUCACACAGCGUACAUGUGCAGACCUGAGGGAGCUUUUCUAGCCUUUAGUCCGGCAGAAGCCGCACAUUCUGUUGCAACUCUUCCUCGGGAAUUUGACUGAGGAGCAGGAGGAGG